rnacentral:rRNA from 1 species
UACGUAGGGUGCGAGCGUUAAUCGGAAUUACUGGGCGUAAAGCGUGCGCAGGCGGCUUCGCAAGUCAGACGUGAAAUCCCCGGGCUCAACCUGGGAACUGCAUUUGUGACUGCAAGGCUAGAGUACGGUAGAGGGGGAUGGAAUUCCGCGUGUAGCAGUGAAAUGCGUAGAUAUGCGGAGGAACACCGAUGGCGAAGGCAAUCCCCUGGACCUGUACUGACGCUCAUGCACGAAAGCGUGGGGAGCAAACAGG